rnacentral:rRNA from 1 species
AGAGUUUGAUCCUGGCUCAGGACGAACGCUGGCGGCGUGCCUAAUACAUGCAAGUCGAGCGGAUGAUGAGAGAAGCUUGCUUCUCUCUGAUUUAGCGGCGGACGGGUGAGUAACACGUGGGUAACCUACCUUAUAGAUUGGGAUAACUCCGGGAAACCGGGGCUAAUACCGAAUAAUACUUUUAAACACAUGUUUGGAAGUUGAAAGACGGUUUCGGCUGUCACUAUAAGAUGGACCCGCGGCGCAUUAGCUAGUUGGUGAGGUAACGGCUCACCAAGGCAACGAUGCGUAGCCGACCUGAGAGGGUGAUCGGCCACACUGGGACUGAGACACGGCCCAGACUCCUACGGGAGGCAGCAGUAGGGAAUCUUCCACAAUGGACGAAAGUCUGAUGGAGCAACGCCGCGUGAGUGAAGAAGGAUUUCGGUUCGUAAAACUCUGUUGCAAGGGAAGAACAAGUAGCGUAGUAACUGGCGCUACCUUGACGGUACCUUGUUAGAAAGCCACGGCUAACUACGUGCCAGCAGCCGCGGUAAUACGUAGGUGGCAAGCGUUGUCCGGAAUUAUUGGGCGUAAAGCGCGCGCAGGUGGUUCUUUAAGUCUGAUGUGAAAGCCCCCGGCUCAACCGGGGAGGGUCAUUGGAAACUGGGGAACUUGAGUGCAGAAGAGGAUAGUGGAAUUCCAAGUGUAGCGGUGAAAUGCGUAGAGAUUUGGAGGAACACCAGUGGCGAAGGCGACUGUCUGGUCUGUAACUGACACUGAGGCGCGAAAGCGUGGGGAGCAAACAGGAUUAGAUACCCUGGUAGUCCAUGCCGUAAACGUUGGGCACUAGGUGUGGGGGACAUUCCACGUUUUCCGCGCCGUAGCUAACGCAUUAAGUGCCCCGCCUGGGGAGUACGGCCGCAAGGCUAAAACUCAAAGGAAUUGACGGGGGCCCGCACAAGCGGCGGAGCAUGCGGAUUAAUUCGAUGCAACGCGAAGAACCUUACCAAGGCUUGACAUGAACCGGAAAGGCCUGGAAACAGGUCCCCCACUUGUGGCCGGUUUACAGGUGGUGCAUGGUUGUCGUCAGCUCGUGUCGUGAGAUGUUGGGUUAAGUCCCGCAACGAGCGCAACCCUCGUUCUAUGUUGCCAGCGGGUUAUGCCGGGGACUCAUAGGAGACUGCCGGGGUCAACUCGGAGGAAGGUGGGGACGACGUCAAAUCAUCAUGCCCCUUAUGUCUUGGGCUUCACGCAUGCUACAAUGGCCGGUACAAAGGGUUGCGAUACUGUGAGGUGGAGCUAAUCCCAAAAAGCCGGUCUCAGUUCGGAUUGAGGUCUGCAACUCGACCUCAUGAAGUUGGAGUCGCUAGUAAUCGCAGAUCAGCAACGCUGCGGUGAAUACGUUCCCGGGCCUUGCACUCACCGCCCGUCA